AGCAUUAUACCGUGAAACUGCGAAUGGCUCAUUAAAUCAGUUAUCGUUUAUUUGAUAGUACCUUACUACUUGGAUAACCGUGGUAAUUCUAGAGCUAAUACAUGCUAAAAACCCCAACUUCGGGAGGGGUGUAUUUAUUAGAUAAAAAACCAAUGCCCUUCGGGGCUCCUUGGUGAUUCAUAAUAACUUCUCAGAUCGCAUGGCCUUGCGCCGGCGACGGUUCAUUCAAAUUUCUGCCCUAUCAACUUUCGAUGGUAAGGUAUUGGCUUACCAUGGUUUCAACGGGUAACGGGGAAUUAGGGUUCGAUUCCGGAGAGGGAGCCUGAGAAACGGCUACCACAUCCAAGGAAGGCAGCAGGCGCGCAAAUUACCCAAUCCCGACACGGGGAGGUAGUGACAAUAAAUACUGAUACAGGGCUCUUUAGGGUCUUGUAAUUGGAAUGAGUACAAUUUAAACCUCUUAACGAGGAACAAUUGGAGGGCAAGUCUGGUGCCAGCAGCCGCGGUAAUUCCAGCUCCAAUAGCGUAUAUUAAAGUUGUUGCAGUUAAAAAGCUCGUAGUUGAACCUUUGGCCUGGCUGGCGGGUCCGCCUCACCGCGUGCACUCGUCCGGCCGGGCCUUUUCUUCUGGAGAACCGCAUGCCCUUCACUGGGUGUGUUGGGGACCAGGACUUUUACUUUGAAAAAAUUAGAGUGUUCAAAGCAGGCCUUUGCUCGAAUACGUUAGCAUGGAAUAAUAGAAUAGGACGUGCGGUCCUAUUUUGUUGGUUUCUAGGACCGCCGUAAUGAUUAAUAGGGACAGUCGGGGGCAUCAGUAUUCAAUUGUCAGAGGUGAAAUUCUUGGAUUUAUUGAAGACUAACUACUGCGAAAGCAUUUGCCAAGGAUGUUUUCAUUAAUCAGUGAACGAAAGUUAGGGGAUCGAAGACGAUCAGAUACCGUCGUAGUCUUAACCAUAAACUAUGCCGACUAGGGAUCGGGCGGUGUUACUAUUUUGACCCGCUCGGCACCUUACGAGAAAUCAAAGU
rnacentral:rRNA from 2 species